rnacentral:rRNA from 1 species
UGGCGAUCACAGGCGAUGAAGGACGCGGUAGCCUGCGAAAAGCCCCGGGGAGCUGGCAAACAAGCUUUGAUCCGGGGAUGUCCGAAUGGGGAAACCCACUCCUUAUGGAGUAUCCAUGGCUGAAUACAUAGGCCAUGUGAAGCGAACGCGGUGAACUGAAACAUCUAAGUAACCGCAGGAAAAGAAAUCAACCGAGAUUCCCAAAGUAGUGGCGAGCGAAAUGGGAUGAGCCUUGUACUCUUUAUUUGUAUUGUUAGCCGAACGCUCUGGAAAGUGCGGCCAUAGCAGGUGAUAGCCCUGUAGGCGAAAACAGUAUGAAAGAACUAGGUGUACGACAAGUAGGGCGGGACACGUGAAAUCCUGUCUGAAGAUGGGGGGACCAUCCUCCAAGGCUAAAUACUCGUGAUCGACCGAUAGUGAACCAGUACCGUGAGGGAAAGGCGAAAAGAACCCCGGGAGGGGAGUGAAAUAGAUCCUGAAACCGCAUGCAUACAAACAGUCGGAGCCUCGUAAGGGGUGACGGCGUACCUUUUGUAUAAUGGGUCAGCGACUUACGUUCAGUAGCAAGCUUAACCGUAUAGGGCAGGCGUAGCGAAAGCGAGUCCGAAUAGGGCGUUCAGUUGCUGGGCGUAGACCCGAAACCAGGUGAUCUAUCCAUGGCCAGGAUGAAGGUGCGGUAACACGUACUGGAGGUCCGAACCCACUAACGUUGAAAAGUUAGGGGAUGAGCUGUGGAUAGGGGUGAAAGGCUAAACAAACCUGGAAAUAGCUGGUUCUCUCCGAAAACUAUUUAGGUAGUGCCUCGUGUCUCACCUUCGGGGGUAGAGCACUGUCAUGGUUGGGGGGUCUAUUGCAGAUUACCCCGCCAUAGCAAACUCCGAAUACCGAAGAGUGCAAUCACGGGAGACAGACAUCGGGUGCUAACGUCCGGUGUCAAGAGGGAAACAACCCAGACCGCCAGCUAAGGUCCCCAAAUAUAGCUAAGUGGGAAACGAAGUGGGAAGGCUAAAACAGUCAGGAGGUUGGCUUAGAAGCAGCCACCCUUUAAAGAAAGCGUAAUAGCUCACUGAUCGAGUCGUCCUGCGCGGAAGAUGUAACGGGGCUAAGCUAUAUACCGAAGCUGCGGAUGCGUGCUUAGCACGCAUGGUAGGAGAGCGUUCCGUAAGCCUGCGAAGGUGCGUUGUAAAGCGUGCUGGAGGUAUCGGAAGUGCGAAUGCUGACAUGAGUAGCGAUAAAGGGGGUGAAAGGCCCCCUCGCCGUAAGCCCAAGGUUUCCUACGCAACGUUCAUCGGCGUAGGGUGAGUCGGCCCCUAAGGCGAGGCAGAAAUGCGUAGCUGAUGGGAAGCAGGUCAAUAUUCCUGCACCGUCGUUAGAUGCGAUGGGGGGACGGAUCGCGGAAGGUUGUCCGGGUGUUGGAAGUCCCGGUCGCUGCAUUGGAGAAGGCGCUUAGGCAAAUCCGGGCGCAGGAUUCAAGGGUGUGGCGCGAGCUCCCUCGGGAGCGAAGCAAUUGGAAGUGGUUCCAAGAAAAGCCUCUAAGCUUCAGUCUAACGAUGACCGUACCGCAAACCGACACAGGUGGGCGAGAUGAGUAUUCUAAGGCGCUUGAGAGAACUCGGGAGAAGGAACUCGGCA